rnacentral:snoRNA from 1 species
GGCCUAUGAUGAAUUUUGUGGAAUAAAUUGUUUCUGAAACAAAGUGAUUACAAAUCAUACAACUGCCUUCCUUCUGAGGCC